AUCCAGCUGACGAGUCUUAAAAAGGAUAAAACACGUGUCCUGGAU
rnacentral:hammerhead_ribozyme from 1 species